rnacentral:rRNA from 1 species
GACGAACGCUGGCGGCGUGCCUAACACAUGCAAGUCGAGCGGGGAUUUAAGUGGAAGUUCUUCGGAAUGGAGAUUUAAAUUCUAGCGGCGGACGGGUGAGUAACGCGUGAACAAUCUGUCCCGGACAGGGGGAUAACACCUGGAAACAGGUGCUAAUACCGCAUAAGACCACGGCCUCGCAUGGGGCUGAGGUAAAAGGAGCAAUCCGGUUCGGGGUGAGUUCGCGUCCGAUUAGCUAGUUGGUGAGGUAACGGCCCACCAAGGCGACGAUCGGUAGCCGGCCUGAGAGGGUGAACGGCCACAUGGGAACUGAGAGACGGUCCAAACUCCUACGGGAGGCGGCAGUGGGGAAUAUUGGGCAAUGGGCGAAAGCCUGACCCAGCAACGCCGCGUGAGGGAAGAAGGUUUUCGGAGUGUAAACCUCUGUCCUAUGGGACGAAGGAAGUGACGGUACCAGAGGAGGAAGCCCCGGCUAACUACGUG